rnacentral:rRNA from 1 species
CGAGCGCACCCCUAUCCUUAUUUGCCAGCGCAUAAUGGCGGGAACUAUAAGGAGACUGCCGGUCAUAAACCGGAGGAAGGCGGGGACGACGUCAAGUCAUCAUGGCCCUUAUGGGUAGGGCUACACACGUGAUACAAUGGGUGGUACAGAGGGUCGCCAAAGCGCGAGCUGGAGCCAAACCCUUAAAACCAUCCUUAGUCCGGAUUGGAGUCUGCGACUCGACUCCAUGAAGUCGGAAUCGCUAGUAAUCGCGAAUCAGAAUGUCGCGGUGAAUACGUUCUCGGGCCUUGUACACACCGCCCGUCACGUCAUGGAAGUGGGUUGCACCAGAAGUGGCUUGUUUAACCUUCGGGAAAACGGUCACCACGGUGUGAUUCACAACUGGGACGAAGUCGUAACAAGGUAGCCCUAGGGGAACCUGGGGCUGGAUCACCUCCUU